GCGUAGCUCAGAUGGUAUAGCGCUCGCUUAGCAUGCGAGAGGUACGGGGAUUGAUACCCCGCGACA
rnacentral:tRNA from 1 species